GUAAUUCUUUUAUUUUAUUUUCCAAGCUCUUUUUUGCUCUAGUGUCCUAGGAGCCUGUGGGGCCAGACUUCAGAAAGCUCUUGGAGCAGGGUCAAGAGGGAAGGGCGUGGGUGGAUUCCCAGCAUUCAGGUUCUCACCAAACUCCAGCAAAAGAGACAAAUAGAUCUCCAUUGACAUAAAGCUGUGGCCAGGGCUAAUGACUGGAAAUCCCACCAAAUGCAGUGUUAACAGGAGUGUAGAGUACCGCUGGGAAAGGUCUUUUCUUACUCCCUGAUUCUGCUUGUUCAGAGGGGUCCCGGAAGUCAAGUCCUUCUCAACUUCUCAAGCUUGGCUGCUUCCAGGGGAACAUGAAGGAGAGGGAACUGAAAGUUCAAAUCAGAGAGGAGGACUGCACACAGAAAGCCAUUCGAGUUCUUCCCAUCCAUUGAAGAGUUGGCUGAAGAAGCCUCACCCCAGUUUCACCUCACCUUCCCAGACAACAGUUUCCUGGCCUUCCCACAUGCUUCCUGAACUUUAUCACUGCAUGCAAAAAAAGAAAAAGCCAGUUGUCUGGCUCCUCCUCCAAACUAUGAAUUAUUUGAAACAAGAAUUAUCUUCAUUCAAAAAAAUAAAUGAACAUCUACCACG